rnacentral:rRNA from 1 species
GAUGAACGCUGGCGGCGUGCCUAAUACAUGCAAGUCGAGCGAACAGACGAGGAGCUUGCUCCUCUGACGUUAGCGGCGGACGGGUGAGUAACACGUGGAUAACCUACCUAUAAGACUGGGAUAACUUCGGGAAACCGGAGCUGAUACCGGAUAAUAUAUUGAACCGCAUGGUUCAAUAGUGAAAGACGGUUUUGCUGUCACUUAUAGAUGGAUCCGCGCCGCAUUAGCUAGUUGGUAAGGUAACGGCUUACCAAGGCAACGAUGCGUAGCCGACCUGAGAGGGUGAUCGGCCACACUGGAACUGGGACACGGUCCAGACUCCUACGGGAGGCAGCAGUAGGGAAUCUUCCGCAAUGGGCGAAAGCCUGACGGAGCAACGCCGCGUGAGUGAUGAAGGUCUUCGGAUCGUAAAACUCUGUUAUUAGGGAAGAACAAAUGUGUAAGUAACUAUGCACGUCUUGACGGUACCUAAUCAGAAAGCCACGGCUAACUACGUG